CUUCUGCCUGUAUCAGGAGGCCUUUCGUGCCAGACUCCGGCUUCCUCUUUCGCCUUUUGUCAUUACUCUUUUUUGAUUUCUGGAUAUUUCUCUGGCUUCGGUUGCACCAAACUCCUUUAGGUUUUUGAUAGGGUUCCUCUCUCUUUAUCAUGUAGUCGAAGUCCAGCCCACCCUUUCCUUGUUUAGAUACUUCUACACCUUCAAGCAUCAUCCCAUGAUGAAGGAUUGGUGGUACUUCUCCCCACAGUUCGGUAGGAAGGGGUUGCUGAAAGGUGCCCCUUCUUCUAUCCAUAACUGGAAGGGG
rnacentral:lncRNA from 1 species